rnacentral:rRNA from 1 species
GACGAACGCUGGCGGCGUGCUUAACACAUGCAAGUCGAACGGAAAGGCCCUGCUUUUGUGGGGUGCUCGAGUGGCGAACGGGUGAGUAACACGUGAGUAACCUGCCCUUGACUUUGGGAUAACUUCAGGAAACUGGGGCUAAUACCGGAUAGGAGCUCCUGCUGCAUGGUGGGGGUUGGAAAGUUUCGGCGGUUGGGGAUGGACUCGCGGCUUAUCAGCUUGUUGGUGGGGUAGUGGCUUACCAAGGCUUUGACGGGUAGCCGGCCUGCGAGGGUGACCGGCCACGUUGGGACGGAGAUGCGGCCCAGACUCCUACGGGAGGCAGCAGUGGGGAAUAGUGCACAAUGGGCGGAAGCCUGAUGCAGCAACGCCGCGUGCGGGAUGACGGCCUUCGGGUUGUAAACCGCUUUCGCCUGUGACGAAGCGUGAGUGACGGUAAUGGGUAAAGAAGCACCGGCUAACUACGUG